UAAGUUGCACCUUAUGGUUAAAUUAUACUGAAUAAAAUGUCAAUGAAAACUGAUACUUAUUGUGAAUGAAUUAUAGAAAUAAAUAUAUGAAUAUAACAUAGCCAAAGGCCUAUAAAAGGUAGAUCUAACAACCUCCAGACAUGGAGAAAGACCCCAUAUAGUAGUCCCCCCUCUCUCACUCUUUAGUAAAACUCUGGCUAUGCCUAUCAUCAGCGUCUAGAAAAGCGGGGGGAGGAAGUGUAGGAAGUCUUCUAUUACCUGGUUGUCGGAGAAAUGGGGGAUUAAAAUUGGAAAUAAAUCGGUUGGUUUAUACGUUAAUUGCUUUCUCUUUAUAUUUUUUCUUCUCUGUUAAUUUAUAAAAGGAAAAAUUUUGUUAUUUUAUUUAUCGGAAUAUUUAUUUUCAUUUAA